rnacentral:rRNA from 1 species
UGGCCUGCUAAAUAGCCUGGCCGUUGCUUCUGGGUGCACGCUUCUUAGAGGGAUUUUCGGUGUUCAGCCGCACGAAAUUGAGCAAUAACAGGUCUGUGAUGCCCUUAGAUGUCCGGGGCUGCACGCGCGCUACACUGGUAAAAUCAGCGUGCUUGUCCUUCCCCGAAAGGGGUUGGUAAACUCGUGAAAAUUUGCCGUGAUUGGGAUCGGAAAUUGCAAUUAUUUUCCGUGAACGAGGAAUUCCAAGUAAGUGCGAGUCAUCAACUCGCGUUGAUUACGUCCCUGCCCU